ensembl:lncRNA
GCUGUCUCUCCCUCCCUCCUCCCCAUGUCACUUGCUCAGAGUACAGACCCUCCCCGCCUGCUAGAGCGGCGCCUCUCCCUCGUGAUUUAUCAGCUCCGGUUAAUAAAGUAGCUUUAAAAAUUUAAAAUAAACUUUUCUGCUGCUUUCUACACUUGGAUCGGAUCUGGAUCCGACCAAGUCUCUACGAAAUCGGUCUAGUUGUCCUCAAUUCCAUUUGGAACGGGUCUCUAUAUUUAAAAAAAAAAAAAAAAUUAUGCGCAUCCCCAGGUACAUGUCGGAACAGGUCCAACUUUUUGGAACCGAAUCUUUGAGUGUUAUGAUUCAAACAGGAGCUGAGGAGCUGUUUCUGCAAGGACAGGACGUACUUCUGGACGGUGAUAGCGACUCCGACUGGGAGCCCCCGGUGCCAAACUGCCCGCUCUAUCUCUGCCCCCUCUACUCCUGCCUCCAGUGGUGUUCAUAUGCCACAGUUCAUUACUGCAGGCAUAACUGUGUCUCAGGGCCAAAAGGGCACAGCAUGGAGGUGUCGUUGUGUUCUGUGUCACAUGACCUGCACCACUUGUUCAGUUUGCCUCUGCUUUACAUCAGAAAGAGACUGCUAUGGGACAUGGCACAGGCAGCAAAAUAUUGUGUAGAGGACUUCCAAAGGGUGUACUGUUUUUUUUUUUUUUAAAUGUUAGAAAAUAAAUGUUUUAACAUUUUUUUUGUGUAUGUUAGAAUUGCUUUUUGAUAUGUUGUAUAUAGUUAUUUGCACUGUUGUAUAUAGUUAUAGGUAAUUUCACCAAUUCGGCCACUUGGGUACAUUUGGGCAACUUGUGUGGGACACCUGGGUGACUUCAUGCUAAAUGUCAUGUAGCUCACCCAUUCCUGAAGUUAUCAGUCUGAAACUUUGCACACCUACAAAUUAUCUCCAGCUAUUCUAGUACAUGUGAAAGAUGAUACUACAA